CAGUCCAUGCUUUGGUCUUCCUCUACCAGCACUGCUCACAAAGCUUUGUCUUCCUCCACCACUGACCACAUAUCCCUUGGUCUUUCAGCCUGCUCAGCCCCUCAGAACCCAGACUUUCAUCGACCACCAUCUCCCUCCCCUCCAGCCAAGUGAAAUCCUCUGGAUCUCAGCCGGGCUUCAGAUGGAGGAGCUGAGAGAACAGCAUCAACUCAGCCCAGGAAAAAGGCAGAUAUCUGAAGAGCAGAACGCUG
ensembl:lncRNA